UACAGAGGAUGCAAGCGUUAUCCGGAUUUAUUGGGCGUAAAGCGCUCGCAGGUGGUUCAUUGCGUCGUGCGUGAAAGACCCCGGCUCAACUGGGGAGGGUCGUGCGAAACGGGUGAACUAGAGGCCAGUAGGGGGAUGCGGAAUUCCGGGUGUAGUGGUGGAAUGCGUAGAGAUCCGGAGGAACACCAGCGGCGAAGGCGGCAUCCUGGACUGGUCCUGACACUCAGGAGCGAAAGCGUGGGGAGCGAUCCGG
rnacentral:rRNA from 1 species